rnacentral:rRNA from 1 species
CCUACGGGAGGCAGCAGUGAGGAAUAUUGGUCAAUGGGCGAGAGCCUGAACCAGCCAAGUCGCGUGAGGGAGUACUGCCCUAUGGGUUGUAAACCUCUUUUGUCGGGGAGCAAAAGCCGGACGUGUCCGGCUGUGAGAGUACCCGAAGAAAAAGCAUCGGCAAACUCCGUGCCAGCAGCCGCGGUAAUACGGGGGAUGCGAGCGUUAUCCGGAUUUAUUGGGUUUAAAGGGUGCGCAGGCGGAUUUUUAAGUCAGCGGUAAAAUCGUGGGGCUCAACCCCAUCCAGCCGUUGAAACUGGGGAUCUAGAGUGUGCGAGAGGUAUGCGGAAUGCGUGGUGUAGCGGUGAAAUGCAUAGAUAUCACGCAGAACCCCGAUUGCGAAGGCAGCAUACCGGUGCACAACUGACGCUCAGGCACGAAAGCGUGGGUAUCGAACAGGAUUAGAUACCCGGGUAGUC